UACGUAGGGUGCAAGCGUUAAUCGGAAUUACUGGGCGUAAAGCGCACGUAGGCGGUCUUUUAAGUCGGGGGUGAAAUCCUGGAGCUCAACUCCAGAACUGCCUUCGAUACUGGAAGACUUGAGUCCGGGAGAGGUGAGUGGAACUGCGAGUGUAGAGGUGAAAUUCGUAGAUAUUCGCAAGAACACCAGUGGCGAAGGCGGCUCACUGGCCCGGUACUGACGCUGAGGUGCGAAAAGCGUGGGGAGCAAACAGGGAUUAAGAUACCC
rnacentral:rRNA from 1 species